AUUGAGCGCUGGCGGCAUGCCUUACACAUGCAAGUCGAACGGUAACAGGCCGCAAGGUGCUGACGAGUGGCGAACGGGUGAGUAAUGCAUCGGAACGUGCCCAGUCGUGGGGGAUAACGCAGCGAAAGCUGCGCUAAUACCGCAUACGAUCUAUGGAUGAAAGCGGGGGACCGUAAGGCCUCGCGCGAUUGGAGCGGCCGAUGUCAGAUUAGGUAGUUGGUGGGGUAAAGGCUCACCAAGCCAACGAUCUGUAGCUGGUCUGAGAGGACGACCAGCCACACUGGGACUGAGACACGGCCCAGACUCCUACGGGAGGCAGCAGUGGGGAAUUUUGGACAAUGGGCGCAAGCCUGAUCCAGCAAUGCCGCGUGCAGGAAGAAGGCCUUCGGGUUGUAAACUGCUUUUGUACGGAACGAAACGGUCCUGGUUAAUACCCGGGGCUAAUGACGGUACCGUAAGAAUAAGCACCGGCUAACUACGUGCCAGCCGCCGCAGUAACAC
rnacentral:rRNA from 1 species